GCACGCCGGAGCCGCCGGACCACCACGGCUCCGCGGCUGCGGCCCGGGUGAGCUCUGCCUCUGGGAGAAGGCGGACUUCAAGGGCCAGCGGCAUGCG
rnacentral:tRNA from 1 species